AUUGAACGCUGGCGGCAGGCCUAACACAUGCAAGUCGAGCGAGCGGCGGACGGGCGAGUAAUGUAUGGGGACUGCCCGAUAGAGGGGGAUAACUACAGGAAACGGUAGCUAAUACCGCAUACUAUCGGAUAACCCAUAUGGGAUUUGUUAGUAGGUGAGGUAAUGGCUCACCUAGGCGACGAUCCCUAGCUGGUCUGAGAGGAUGAUCAGCCGCAAUGGGACUGAGACACGGCCCAGACUCCUACGGAGGCAGCAGUGGGGAAUAUUCCACAAUGGGCGCAAGCCUGAUGCAGCCAUGCCGCGUGUAUGAAUAAGGCCCUCGGGUUGUAAAGUACUUUCGGUCGGGAGGCGUUACCGACAGAAGAAGCACCGGCUGACACCGUGCAAGCCGCCGCGGUAAUUC
rnacentral:rRNA from 1 species